rnacentral:rRNA from 1 species
UACGAAGGGUGCUAGCGUUGUUCGGAAUCACUGGGCGUAAAGCGCGCGUAGGCGGCGAUACAAGUCAGAGGUGAAAGCCCGUGGCUCAACCACGGAAUUGCCUUUGAAACUGCAUUGCUGGAGUGUCGGAGGGGAUAGCGGAAUUGCUAAUGUAGAGGUGAAAUUCGUAGAUAUUAGCAGGAACACCGGUGGCGAAGGCGGCUAUCUGGACGACAACUGACGCUGAGGCGCGAAAGCGUGGGGAUCAAACAGG